GGUCUCGAGUACCAGCAUCAAGCCCCGGCUCGCUGGUCGGCAACCCUCCUGUGCGGUGGGGUGCCCCGGGUGACGACCUGGGCCUGGCUACCUGUCAGGUCAAGCGCAUCGC
rnacentral:ncRNA from 2 species